UACGGAGGGUGCGAGCGUUGUCCGGAAUCAUUGGGCGUAAAGCGCGUGUAGGCGGUCCGGUAAGUCCGCUGUGAAAGUCGGGGGCUCAACCCUCGGAUGCCGGUGGAUACUGUCGGUCUUGAGUACGGAAGAGGCGAGUGGAAUUCCUGGUGUAGCGGUGAAAUGCGCAGAUAUCAGGAGGAACACCAAUUGCGAAGGCAGCUCGCUGGGACGUUACUGACGCUGAGACGCGAAAGCGUGGGGAGCAAACAGG
rnacentral:rRNA from 1 species